AUUGAACGCUGGCGGCAGGCCUAACACAUGCAAGUCGGACGGUAGCACAGAGGAGCUUGCUCCUCGGGUGACGAGUGGCGGACGGGUGAGUAAUGUCUGGGGAUCUGCCCGAUAGAGGGGGAUAACCACUGGAAACGGUGGCUAAUACCGCAUAACGUCGCAAGACCGAAGAGGGGGACCUUCGGGCCUCUCACUACCGGAUGAACCCAGAUGGGAUUAGCUAGUAGGCGGGGUAAUGGCCCACCUAGGCGACGAUCCCUAGCUGGUCUGAGAGGAUGACCAGCCACACUGGAACUGAGACACGGUCCAGACUCCUACGGGAGGCAGCAGUGGGGAAUAUUGCACAAUGGGCGCAAGCCUGAUGCAGCCAUGACGCGUGUAUGAAGAAGGCCUUCGGGUUGUAAAGUACUUUCAGCGGGGAGGAAGGCGGUGAGGUUAAUAACCUCGCCGAUUGACGUUACCCGCAGAAGAAGCACCGGCUAACUCCGUGCCAGCCGCCGCCGUAA
rnacentral:rRNA from 1 species